rnacentral:rRNA from 1 species
UACGUAGGGUGCAAGCGUUGUCCGGAAUUAUUGGGCGUAAAGGGCUCGUAGGCGGUCUGUCACGUCUGCUGUGAAAACUCGGGGCUUAACCCCGGGCCUGCAGUGGGUACGGGCAGACUAGAGUGCGGUAGGGGAGACUGGAAUUCCUGGUGUAGCGGUGAAAUGCGCAGAUAUCAGGAGGAACACCGGUGGCGAAGGCGGAUCUCUGGGCCUUACCUGACGCUGAGGCGCGAAAGCUAGGGGAGCAAACAGG